GGCGGAGGGAAGCUCAUCGGUGGGGCUACUAGCUGAGUGCGUCAUGUCACUCUUCGCAGUGUCCCUUGGGAAGGUCUGAGACUAGGGCCAGACGCGGCUCUAACAGGGCCCUCCCUGUGCUCGGGGAGGUGAGUUCCCAGAGAACGGGUCUCCGCGCGAGGGCAGACUGGGCAGGAGAUGCCGUGGAUCUGAUCUCUAUGGUUGGGCCCGGCGGAUGCCUCCUUAGCCGGAGCUUGGAACAGACUCACGGCCAGCGCUUCAGAGAGUUCAAUGGCUGAGGUGAGGUACUCUAACCGGGGGCCUCAUAACCUAAUUCAGACUACUCUCCCCCGUC
rnacentral:RNase_P_RNA from 1 species